rnacentral:rRNA from 1 species
CCUACGGGUCGCACCAGUGGGGAAUAUUGGACAAUGGGCGCAAGCCUGAUCCAGCCAUGCCGCGUGAGUGAAGAAGGCCUUAGGGUUGUAAAGCUCUUUCACCGGUGAAGAUAAUGACGGUAACCGGAGAAGAAGCCCCGGCUAACUUCGUGCCAGCAGCCGCGGGAAUACGAAGGGGGCUAGCGUUGCUCGGAAUGACUGGGCGUAAAGGGUGCGUAGGCGGUUUAUGCAGUCAGAUGUGAAAUCCCCGGGCUUAACCUGGGAACUGCAUUUGAGACGCAUAGACUAGAGGUCGAGAGAGGGUUGUGGAAUUCCCAGUGUAGAGGUGAAAUUCGUAGAUAUUGGGAAGAACACCGGUGGCGAAGGCGGCAACCUGGCUCGAUACUGACGCUGAGGCGCGAAAGCGUGGGGAGCGAACGGGAUUAGAUACCCCCGUAGUC